CAUGCCACUUUAACUUGGUCGUACCGUUCUAUUCACCCAAGACAGACGAAGGAGAAAGGCAACAAGUCUUUUUCGCGCACGCGGUUGGCGGAACCAGGCCUACGUGUAGAGAUGUAGCCAUGGAGGAGGAUUAUGAUCAGCAGCUGGAAGAACACCUCGAUGGACAAGAGGAUCCGUGCCAUUUGAUGUUUUGUGAUUAACUUUAUAUAUUUUAUUAUUUGCACAUUUUUACAAUACAAAUCAGUCCCAACAUUCAAUUAUAUAACUGAUAUAUCAAAUGAUUUAUAUAUUUUAUUAUUUGCACAUUUUUACAAUAUAAAUCAGUCCCAACAUUCAAUUCUUUUGUAGUCUACAUCAUGCUCUAUCAGUAUGAAGCUGAGCUUUCUAGCAGCACAAUAUUACAUAUAUGGUAUUU